GUAUAGGAGGGCUACCUCUACUAAAAUAGGUACGAUACAUUAUUAGGUUAGCAUGAUCCUUGCGCAAAGAUGAACGCAAAAUAGAGAAGCGUUCUACAUUUUU